ensembl:lncRNA
AAUACAGAUCGCCCCGUGAUCAAUUUGAUAGAUUAUUAACGUUUAUUAAUACCUAAAGUUGGUUUAGAAAAGUAGUUUGAAGUGAUUUGUAAAAGUAUAUAGGCAACUUUUGUAAUUUUAAAAAGUGACGUUGCGUCUUGUAAAGGGGCAUUUUUCUGGAUCAGACCGGUCUUCAGCAAAUCACAUUUUGGGUAUACAAUGAUGGAUUUAAUCGGGAAAAAGACCCAAUUGUGAUGUUUAUGUGACAUAUAGGAGUGCCAAGAAAGAAGCUCGUCAAAGGCCCUCCAUUCCCAAACCUGAAGCCAACUGUUCCCAGCAGGAAAGACCAGGAAAAGGUGUUUAAGUUACAACUUCCUAUUGAAGAAAUGUAAGACAACUCAAUGUCAUAUUUACUGACAUGAAAAGGAGCAUAUACACGCAAUCUAUCAAAUGUAUUUUAUAAAGCCCCGUUUACAUCAGUAGUUGUCACAAAGUGCUUAAGCAGAUACCCAGGUUAAAACCCCAAAGAGCAAGCAAGCAGACGUAGAAGCACAGUGGCUAUGAAAAACUCCCUAGAAAGGCAGGAACCUAGGAAGAAACCUAGAGAGGAACCAGGCUCUGAGGGGUGGCCAGUCCUCUUCUGUCUGUGCUUGUGGAGAUUAUAAAAGAGUACAGCCAUUUAGGCCAGAUUAUUCUUAAAGCUGUUUCAGCGUUCACAGAUGACCAGCAGUGUUAAAUAAUAGAGAGUGCAAUAGUUCAGCACCUCAGGUGUAAAUGCCAGUUGGCUCUUCAUAGCUGAGCAUUUAGAGGUUGAGGCAGUAGGUCCAGUAGAGAGAGGCAGGAUCAAACAGCGGGUCUAGGACAAGGUAGUACCUCCGGUGAGCCUUGAGCAGGUCAGGGUUCCAUAGCUGCAGACAUAAACAGCAGAGACUGGAUCAGCAGCACGACCAGGUGGACUGGAGACGGGGAAAGCCAGGAGUCGUCAGGCCAGAAGGUCACACACGCAUAUCACAUUGCAAGGGUUAGUGUGUAGUCAAGGCUUUGCCAACCUGCUCGGUGGGUGACGGGUGACCGUCUUUCCACCAAGCUGUUCCAGGCCUGGAGUGGCACGCUGGAACUUCCAAAGGCUUGUAGACCUGAAGCAGUGUGAUGUGGUCCAGAUCUGCCACGCCCAGCAGUUCAGCUGCAGUCACAGCAGUCUUCUGCUGUGGUAGUUAAUUUACCAGCUGCACCAAUGCCUUCUACACUGGCCGUGAAAGGAGAAACUUAUGGGUAUUCCCAGAUGGAUACAGAUCUGCCAUGCACUCCACCACUGCCUGACAGCCUCACCCAGAAGUGCAUACACUGGGCCUAUCAGAGAUGGGUGUCUGACAAGGAAAAAUAAAACAUGCACACACACACACACAUCCACAAUGUAAAUAAGUUGUAAUUACUUGUUUAAUGUUUGCUCCAUUUUAUUGUAGGAUUGGAGAUAUCUACUCCCUCAUAGACAUGCUCAAUAUCUACAUAAUUACUCAAACUAUCUAUCAAAUCAAAGUGUGAUUGAUAAUAUUGUAAAAGACUUGCUUAAUAUGUAGUUUUAGGACAUUUUGUGUGCUUUUUUUCUGAGUUGAAAAACAUGCCUCAUACACACAUUAGACCCAAUGUAAAUCAGUUGUAAUAACUUGUUUAUUUUAAUGUAUGGUGAAUUUUAUUUGAGGAAAAUAUCUGCAAUAAAGUACAUUCACAGUUAAAGCAAUGUCCUAUUUCUCAGAAUACAAUGUGUGGCCAG